UCGUAACAAGGUCUCCGUUGGUGAACCAGCGGAGGGAUCAUUACCGAGUUUACAACUCCCAAACCCCUGUGAACAUACCACUUGUUGCCUCGGCGGAUCAGCCCGCUCCCGGUAAAACGGGACGGCCCGCCAGAGGACCCCUAAACUCUGUUUCUAUAUGUAACUUCUGAGUAAAACCAUAAAUAAAUCAAAACUUUCAACAACGGAUCUCUUGGUUCUGGCAUCGAUGAAGAACGCAGCAAAAUGCGAUAAGUAAUGUGAAUUGCAGAAUUCAGUGAAUCAUCGAAUCUUUGAACGCACAUUGCGCCCGCCAGUAUUCUGGCGGGCAUGCCUGUUCGAGCGUCAUUUCAACCCUCAAGCACAGCUUGGUGUUGGGACUCGCGUUAAUUCGCGUUCCCCAAAUUGAUUGGCGGUCACGUCGAGCUUCCAUAGCGUAGUAGUAAAACCCUCGUUACUGGUAAUCGUCGCGGCCACGCCGUUAAACCCCAACUUCUGAAUGUUGACCUCGGAUCAGGUAGGAAUACCCGCUGAACUUAAGCAUAUCA
rnacentral:sRNA from 1 species